rnacentral:tRNA from 1 species
CUCCCUGUGGCUCAGUUGGUAGAGCAUGGUGUUUGCAAUGCCAGCAUGGUGUGUGCAACGCCAGGGUUGUGGGUUCGAUUCCCACGGGGGGC